AAGAAGAUAGGCAACUCUCUGUCUCUCUCUCUCUCUCUCAUCCUUUCUAUGCUUGGAUUUAUUUAAAAGGAACAAACUUUUCAUGUUGAUGUUAGACUAGAGAAGAAAGAGCAACCCAGACUGAACCUGGCCCCAUUUUAACUGGCAGGUCCCUUGCUUCAAUUAGCUUCAGGUGUUUGGCGAGUUUCAGGGAAGUUUCACGUCAAGGUCUUUGGCCGGUUUCAGCUGCAUGCAAGCUGAAGGGCUUUCCAACCGAGUAUGGCAUCGCGUGUGGGUUCUCUACCUUGCUGUCACUGUUUCGGUUAUCUGUCGGAGGAUGAAAAAGUAGCAUCUAAUAUCAACAAACAAAUCAACAAGACAUUAAAACAACAGAAACGGAACCAACGCAGGCAACUCAAACUCCUAGUUCUAGGCACUGGAGAAAGUGGCAAAAGCACAUUCAUCAAACAGAUGAGAAUCAUCCAUGGGUCUGGAUACUCAGAAGAAGAGAGGAAAGCCUUUGCAAAGUUGGUCUACCAGAACAUAAUCACUGCAAUACAGUCAAUUAUAAGAGCAAUGGAUACCUUGAAUAUACAAUACCAGCAGCAGGGAAAUAAGGAAAAUUCUCAGGUAAUAAAGGAAUUAGAAGUCUAUAAAUUCACUACUCUUGAAAGACUACAUGCGGAUGCGAUUAAAAGCUUAUGGAAUGAUCCAGGAGUAAGGGCAUGCUAUGAACGGCGUCGGGAGUACCAGUUGCUUGACUCUACAAAUUAUUACCUGACUGACAUUGAUCGAAUUGCAGCUAGUGAUUAUAUACCAACAGAUCAAGAUGUAUUGAGGGUUCGAGUACCAACGACAGGCAUUAAUGAGUAUUCAUUUAAUAUGCAUCGAGUAUCCUUAAGAAUUGUGGAUGUCGGAGGACAGAAGUCUGAAAGGAGGAAAUGGAUCCACUGUUUUGAGAACGUUAUAUCAGUUAUAUUCCUGGCAUCUCUCAGUGAAUAUGAUCAAGUCCUAGAAGAGAGUGAGAAUGAGAAUCGAAUGAAGGAAAGCCUUGGUCUCUUUCAUUUUAUUUUGAAGUCCAACUAUUUUGAGAAUUCAUCCAUUAUUCUUUUCUUGAAUAAAAAGGAUAUUUUAGAGGAGAAGGUUCUUAACUCACAUUUAGUGGACUAUUUUCAUGAAUUUGAUGGUGCUAAAAGAAAUGCUGAGGAUGCCAUGAACUUUAUCCUAAAGAUGUAUCAGAGGCAAGUUGAAGAUGGAAGAAGAAUUUACUGGCACUUCACCUGUGCCACGGACACGGAUAAUAUCCGCAAGGUCUACACGGAUGUCAGGGACACGGUCUUGUUUGGGAUCAUACAGGACCUGAAUCUAUUGUAGAAAGACAUUAGGAAACCCCAGCACACAAUGCACUGAGUGUUGUGCCCUUGGCAAAGCUGGGAGUAAAAAGAGACAACAAGCCAUCUUUGAAACUGGAGGAUGGGAAACUGGAGGAUGGGAAAGAGAUUUUUGAGCAAGAUGAAGCAUUCUAAUGAUAGAGAUGGCCAAAAGCUUUGAGAAAGCGGUUCACCAGUGGGAACAUUCAAAACAAUGUCUACACCCAUUCUUCUUUUAAUAACUAAGACAAUUAUAACAAGAUGGGAGUUGUCACUGAGAUAUCUAAUUGCAGUAUAAAGUAGUAAAUACGCACAACUGAUCCUACUUUAGGAAAAGAAUUUUCAAUAAAAUCAACCUUUGUGCCCACAGAAACACGCACCACACUUUAUAGCAUUUUGUGAUCUCAGGCAUGAUGAGCACUGUAAUGAGGUCUUUGACUUUUUGGUCAGCAAGUGCUGACAUGAUUGCACACUCUGUUUUGCAGUAAAAUAAUGACAAAUUACAAGCAAUAUAUAGGAACAAAAUUUAUUCCAAUUUCAAACAGAGAAUUUCAGGAUAAGGAUAUGAAAAUCAAGUCCAUGUUUCCAUGAGGGUCAAGCAACAGAGGUCAAAUUAAACUAUUACAAAAUUAUGGCCGAAAAAUACUGUAUUAAUAACCAGUAAGACCCUUCUUGGGUAAUUAUUAUACAAGAUUUCUUUUAUGUUUCAAAAACUAUGCCCCUCCCCAAACAACAAUACAUGCAUUAAAAUGACACAAUUUAAAAACAGCAGUUAUAGCUCUUAAAUAGUUUAAAGUUUCCUUUUAACAGGACCUAAUAUACAAGUCCAACCUAAAUUUCCACCACAUUGGCACUUGUAGAGAGUCUGGCACUACAAAGAAGGGACUUGGCACACUUUAAUUCAUUAUUCUACAUAAUUUACAUUUGGUUUACUUAAAAAAAAAAAUCUGUGAAAGAUCAGUAAUACAUAUGUUAGUUCAAUACACCACUGCCGAUGGCUGCCAUGCUUCAAUUUUCUUCAAAAAGUUACAAGCAUAGAAAUACACAACAAAAUAUGAAGUUUGAAUAUUCCACCAAAUGAAUACUAAAAUGUUAACAACCCAGACCUAUGACAGAACAAUUACUUUGCAUGAAGCCAGGACAUCUACAGAGGUAUAAUAUUCAUUCUAUACACAACCUUAUUGAAGCCUAAGAUGACUUUUCAGCUCAAAAUGCAUUAGUCCCAAAUAACUGAACAGGCUUAUUUUUCCACAUGGAGCUUUUAGUACCAUAAUUACAGCAAGAAUGCUUCUUUAUGAAUUACUGUGUUUAGGCAAAGUCAAAAAUUGUUGCUUCCAAAGUCUCCCUCCCACUCAAAUACCUGUAUGGCAACAAUGCCUAUGAGCUUUAUCUGCUGACUUGGCAAUAUAUAGCUAUGAAGAUUUAAAUCUUCCUGUUGCCCUAGUUGCUGUCACCAUUGAGCAAUACAAUUUGGAAACUUACCAAGUUGUGGCUCUGCAGUAGCUAUAAAGGCCACCUUCUCCAUUAAAAACAGAGAUGGUUCAUUAGAUAAUCUCUCCCGCCCACCCCUUUCCCAAUGGCUAACCAAAAUGAUACACAACUGUUAGCUUUUCAACUUCAUAGUGCAAAGGUGUGCAGACAGAUACAACAUUGUUAAUUAAGAUAAUCUACAUGUUUUGCUUCCUCAAAAGCUGUAUCUAUUACAGUGGCAUUCACUAAACAGCCCCAAUCUCUACCUCUUUCAGCCCUGACUUGCUCUUCUACAUUUAAGCUACCUGUGCCUCUACUUAUAGCCGGCAAACCUGUUGGAAUGCUGUCACAUGCAUUUAGCACUGUUCCCUUUCCGACAUAGCAAGAAAAUACAAUUAGAAAACAGGUUAUCUUAGUAUCCACAAUAAAACAAAGGUUUCCAGUGGAACAAUAUUGAACCGCUAACAUAAAUAGAGCAUUCUUAACGUCCUUAUGUUAGGAUAGCAAGACCCCCAAUUUAUAGCUGUUACUAAACAGAAACAAAUGAUAAAUCCAAUAACCUAGCUGGAAAGAGAAACAGAAUGUAGGAAUGUAGAGAAAUAGAAAAGAGGGAAAAACAAGACUACCACAAAGAAAACUUAAUGGAAAGAUGACAAUUGGUAAAUUAGAAGCACAAAUUAGAAGUUGCUCUCCCCCAUCCUCACCAGGAACUUUCAUCUCCUCUCCUAUACUACAUACCUUCUCUAUGCGAGACCGUGGACUUCGCACUUUCUUAAAAGAUUGCGCCAAAACUUCCCAUUGUGAGUCACCAUGAGCUACAAAGAAGUCAACCUGAUUCACACUAUCCGGAGAAUAAUGCUGGACCUUUGUUUGGAAACC